CUGCUGCUGGGUGAUGCUGAUAGUGCUGGGUUGAUGAUUGAACUUAAUGAUUUUAAAGGUCUCUUCCAACCUUGAUGAUUCUAUGAUUCUAUAACAGAGAUCAUCCAAUCUACAGACCCUUGGAUAUGGACUGUAACCACAAAGGGCAGACUACAUAGAUUAGGACUUUUAAUUCAGAUGAUAGCCAUCUAUAAAACUGUGGGUGGCAAAGUGAGGGUGACUUCUCUUUAUCUACUCUAACACAAAAGCUGAGAGGCAUCAAACAGAACUAGGAGGUGGCAGAUUCAGAAUAAAGCAGAGGCGAUGCUGCAUCACACCGUGAAAAUGUGGGAUUUCUUGCCACAAACACUGUGGUAGUAUUUGAAAGAUGGAUAAUUAUCUACUUGCCAUGCAUUUAUACUUCUCUUGAGAGAAGUAUUGUCAACU